rnacentral:lncRNA from 1 species
GGGGGGGGCAAAGAGAUUUCAUAGAUGACUCCCGGGUUUCUAACUUAAGCAGUUGGGUAUGUGGGUGGUGGCACCAUAGAUGGGCCGGAGAAUAGCACAAGAGGGAGGAGCAGAUGGGAGGGGGCGUAUGUGAGUUCAGUUUUGGAAAUCCAGGAGUCCCCUUUAUCCACAGUUUUGCUUUCUGUGGUUUCAGUUCCCCAUGGUCAACUGUGGUCUGGAAGCAAACGAUCCUCCUGCCCUACUGUCAGAAAGUCAAUAGUAGUCUAACGCUGUGCCCCAAUGCCUACGGUUAUUCACCUCUCUUCAUCUCAUCACGUAGGCAUUUUACCACCUCCCAGCAUCAUAAGAAGAAGGAAAUAUCAGCAAUCACUCAAUAUGCUUCUGCAGAAAAACAAUGGUCAAGAUCUUCCUUUAAUGUCUCCAGACAAGAUGAAGCAAUGAAUCACCAUAUAAAAUGACUGUAUUACUUCAGUAUCUAAGGAAAACGUGUGACUUGGUAUGAUAACACCACCCAGUUCAAGUGCUGUAAGUUUCCAGUUUGUUCUUAUUCACCUAGCCAAUUUAAUUUCCAAAUCAUAAACUCUUCCACUCUGCCUUCCGAGAACAAUAAUUUCCUUCAGAAGGUAUCUUUAAGGUUUUUAACCUUGAUUGAGAGA